CAACCAUAUCAUGUUGAAACACUAGUUCCCAUAUGAUCACUGAAGUUAAGCAAUAUCGAGACUGGUCAGUACCUAGAUGGCUGACCAUUUGGGGAUACCAUGUGAUGUA